rnacentral:rRNA from 1 species
AGUAAUACAUCGGAACGUGUCUUCUAGUGGGGGAUAACUGCCCGAGAGGGCAGCUAAUACCGCAUGAGACCUGAGGGUGAAAGCGGGGGAUCGCAAGACCUCGCGCUGGAAGAGCGGCCGAUGUCCGAUUAGCUAGUUGGUGAGGUAAAGGCUCACCAAGGCGACGAUCGGUAGCUGGUCUGAGAGGACGACCAGCCACACUGGGACUGAGACACGGCCCAG